CCCCCCCCAGUAAGAAUUCCUGGAUUUAGGAUAUCCCUGCUUUUGGCAUCCUGUUUUAAGUACAGUUGCAUCAUCUUAUAUCACUUGAAAGUACAUAGCAAUUUGUUUAAAUAUUCUGGCUUAGAGGGGAUUUUAAUUGAGCUGUCUGUGCACUGAAAUCCUGCAAUGGAUCAAAACAAGCUCUAAUCUUUUGGGGUUCUACACAGUCAAGUUAAAUGCCAACACUGACACUUGAUGUGGUUAUACAGGCUGCUGUAUCUUUAUAAAGUGACAAUACAGCAACACAGGUUGUUUCACUGGAGGAAGAUGGUGUUAAUGUUUACACCAAGUCUGAGAACAACCUCUUCUAUCCUCUAAGACAAGGCUUGUUCCAACACUGGCAUCAAAAGGAGAGCUGAUGCUACCCCAGAACCUCAAGCUACUACCUAAACAUCACUAUUAACUUCUCCACUGAUAAAGUCAAUAUGUAUUGAAGUUAAACGACAGAGUGCUGUAUGUCACAGAGAACAGAUUCUUUCAUCAUACAGAUUCUUUCUGCAAAAGAAACAAUAAUAGUUACAGAGAAAUGUUUCAGAAAAAUGGAUAUUAUGUACUUGAUAUAGAUUAUGUACCUGGUUAUGUACCCAAUAUAGAUUGACAUCUACACUGAUCUUUGAUGUCAGGCAAAACAAAUCUUCCAAGAAGUCAAAGGAGUGGAGAAUGUCAAGGACUUAUCAAGGCUUUUAUUAAAAUUUGCCAGUAUGUGAUAAUGGUUGAAAGUUGAACAUAAAAUUGCUGCUUAUUGCAUGUUUCCUAGUAAUAAAAUCAUUUAUUGCAAGAAAAUGAUUGAGGGGAAAAGCUAGGAGAGGUGAGAAAUAUUUUCUGUUCAGGGCACAGGAGCAGAGCUAAGAAAGUCUGGUUUGAUUUGGUUUUCUGUGCCAGUUUUCUGACUGGCACAACCUGGGAAAAACUUGGAUACAUCUUUCCACCCCUAUAUGCCUUUUAUCCACAAAAUAUGUCUCUCUCCUGUGAGUCCUUGUGACUCUUCCAUUUCUUCCCGGAUGACUACUUUCUGGAGUCAAAUGGCAAUCCUUUCAAACAUGGCUGCAGCAGAGCCCAGAGAUUUUGCAUACAAGUCCACAAAUACAUGACAAGCUGGUGGCUUUUAUUCAUUGUCAGCAACAGCUGAGAGGGUCUGUAGUAGACAAGCCAUUAUUAAUCUUCUACUUGUCCUUACUACACUUUCUCACUCCCCAGGUCUCCUUUAUUACCUGCUAUGUCUUCCUUCUACCUCUUCUUCUUGUGAUACACUAAAAACAUCCAUUGCUUUUAUGUUCAAUGUUCAGCUCCAGUUUGAAAUGCCUGUCAACCAAGAAAAGUAAACACAACCUAUGGGGAUAUGGUAUAUGUGGAAACUCACUACCAUUAAGGAAAGCGUUUGUAUCAGGAAGGAAAAGUUGAUAAGCAGUCUUAUCGAAACAGCUGAUGGUGAGAACGACAGAAAAUAUUUCAAAUAGCUAAGAGCUGGAUUGUGUUACAAUGAAAAUAAGGAAUUCAGGGAUAGGAACAGCAUGAGGAAGGAGAUCAUUUGUGCGUAGGGCUAGUUGGGAGCGUUCUUAACAAGCUUAACUAUUAGAGUAAAACAUUGCUGUUACAACAACAUCAGAGUAGGAGAUUUUUUUAAUUUAGUUUUAUAUUAUCUAAAAGAUAGAAUCUUGGAAAUCAAAUGGAGAAGAGUGAGAGGUUAGUAUUUACUCUUUCUACAGAUUUUCAUAUUCCAUCAGCUAGCCAAGAUAUCAUCCCCAAUAUAAUCCAGAUUUAUAUCA
ensembl:lncRNA